rnacentral:lncRNA from 1 species
UUUUUUUUUUGUCAACUGGAGUUUUAUUAAUCAAGCGAAAUAUGAUACAAAGUACAACACCAGAUUAUCUAAUAAAUAAGAUUUAUAUAUGUGGAGGUUAUAACAUAACAAAAUGUUUCAUGGAGUAUGUUAACGCAACUUGUAAACGACACGUAUAAUUGAAAACAAGGACAACAUGUUUAUAAACUCUUAUAUCGCUAACGUUACGUGACGUCUCACUUUGUAUGUUUUCUCUUACAACCUACCCUUUCGAUUUGUUUUGAAUAUAGUUUGUGUAAAGAGCCAAGUUUCAUAUAUAAUUUUUGUUUUUUGUUCGUAAGAAAGUGAAAGGGGAAUCCUAGAAACGAAAAGGAAAUGUCAUUUUCCCUCAAGGAAAAAGCACUAAAAUUCUAAAUAAUGUAUCAGAUAUCUUAUUCUUUUGUCCUCGUACAAUUAUGGAGUUAUAUAUAUAUAUUUUAGUUAGAACCUGAUUUUUUUUCCAUUUCAUUAAGCGUGAUUCCAUUUCAUUAAGCGUGAUGUAAAUUACAGUAGUCGUACGUUUAUAUCAUUAACUUCAUUAGUUAGUAGUUUGUAUUAUUGCAAUAAUGCGGUGGGAUAAUAUACUGUCAUGUGUGAGUUGUUGUAGUUUUUUUUUAUAACUUUUUUGUUUCUAAACUGAUUUGGAGUGUUUUGGUCCGUCAGGAGCAUGUGACACGACAUAAGGGACCAUCACUUGGAUAUAGUCUCGACCAUUGAUAUCUAACCACGUCAUCAGAACAGCUGCGUGGAACCCAUUACAUAUCUGACAUCGACGGCUGAGUAUGAGAUUGGGUGGGACUUGGGAGACUGGCAGAGUCCAUAUGAGAGAUUGGGUGGACUACAAAAGUAGGAGAGACUUCGAUGGUCGCAGUUACUUGCGGCUACCGGACGCAACAAAACCGGACCUGAUGCUUUCACCUUCUCUUGUUUCUCUUCUCUCUUCAUUUGUUCGUCUUUUUCUUUAGACUCUCUCUCUAUCAACACACAAACAAAUACAAAAAAAAUAUAUACAUAUAUAAAAUUUGAUUUUGAUUUCUCUACCUUAUUAUUAGGAUAAAGUAUAACUUUCA